rnacentral:tRNA from 1 species
GCGGCGGCGGGUGCCGGGCCCGCCGCGUGCGCCGGGUCGAUGCCGGUCGGCAGGUGCGCCUGCAGACCCGGUUCGAUGCCGGUGGCCGGC